rnacentral:snRNA from 1 species
AUACUUACCUGGCAGGGGAGAUACCAUUAUCUCAAAGGUGGUUUUCCCAGGGUAAGGCUCAUCCAUUGCACUGGAUUUUUAUCUGCUGAUAUAGAAAACGGUAGCAGUCUUGCAAAUUUAUUUUGUGGGCACACCUU